UGGCGGACGGGUGAGUAAUGUCUGGGAAACUGCCCGAUGGAGGGGGAUAACUACUGGAAACGGUAGCUAAUACCGCAUAACGUCGCAAGACCAAAGAGGGGGACCUUGGGGCCUCUUGCCAUCGGAUGUGCCCAGAUGGGAUUAGCUAGUAGGUGGGGUAAUGGCUCACCUAGGCGACGAUCCCUAGCUGGUCUGAGAGGAUGACCAGCCACACUGGAACUGAGACACGGUCCAG
rnacentral:rRNA from 1 species